rnacentral:rRNA from 1 species
CGCUGGCGGCGUGCCUAAUACAUGCAAGUCGAACGGUCUUUCUAUGGAAGCUUGCUUCCACUGAGAAGAUAGUGGCGAACGGGUGAGUAACACGUGGGUAACCUGCCCAUAAGAGGGGGGAUAACAUCCGGAAACGGGUGCUAAUACCGCAUAGUUUUCUUGAUCGCAUGAUCGGGAAAGGAAAGACGGCCUUUGUGCUGUCGCUUAUGGAUGGACCCGCGGCGUAUUAGUUAGUUGGUGAGGUAACGGCUCACCAAGACGAUGAUACGUAGCCGACCUGAGAGGGUGAUCGGCCACAUUGGGACUGAGACACGGCCCAAACUCCUACGGGAGGCAGCAGUAGGGAAUCUUCCGCAAUGGACGAAAGUCUGACGGAGCAACGCCGCGUGAGUGAAGAAAAGGUUUUCGGAUCGUAAAACUCUGUUGUCAGAGAAGAACAAGUUGGAGAGUAACUGCUCCAGCCUUGACGGUAUCUGACCAGAAAGCCACGGCUAACUACGUGCCAGCCGCUGC